GACGAACGCUGGCGGCGUGCUUAACACAUGCAAGUCGAACGAUGAAGAAGAGAAACGCGACCUUCGGCUCAAAUUUCACUUCGGAUUAGCGGCAGACGGGUGAGUAACGCGUGUGCAACCUACCUCUUACAAAGGGAUAGCCUCGGGAAACCGUGAUCAUUACCAUAUGACACAUUUAUAAGGUAUCUUAAGUAUGUUAAAGGUUCGGGGGUUAGGGAUGGGCUCGCGUCGUAUUAGCUAGUUGGUGCGGGAACGGCCCACCAUGGUGACGAUGGGUAACCGGGAUGGGAGGCUGGACCGUGACGACUGAGCUAAGGCACAGUACGAAAUCGUACGCAAGGGAGGAGAGUGUUAUAUAGCACGAUGGAGGGAGCUGUGAUGCAGCGACGCCGGGUGAGCGAUGAAUGGAGUCGUAAACUAAAGUUCUGUUCUAUGGGAAGAGAAUGACGGUACCGGAGGAGAAAGCCCCGGCUAAAUACGUG
rnacentral:rRNA from 1 species